rnacentral:lncRNA from 1 species
CCUUUAUUCAUCCACUUCCUGAUCCUCCCCUCCGUCAGUCAUUAAACAAUAAAUCUCGUCUGUGCCUUCCCCUUGUACCUCAAGCUGCUGACUAGACAGUUUUAUUGACGUUCUGAAGUUCGAUCAUGGCUGCGGCGGCUGUGGAGGCUCUGUCCUUCAGCCUGCUCCCAGAGCGCUGCACAGCUGUGGGUGUCGAUCGUGACAGGUCACAUAAUUAGAGCAGCGCUGUGUCUGUCUGAGACUGUGGCAGGGAGCCGCUGGACACAUGAGGCUCAGCCAGGCCUCUGGACCCGUGGAGGCAGCCAUGCAUGCAAGUGUGUGUACGUUCAUCCUCCCGUCACACACACACACACACACACACACACACACACACACACACACACACACACACACACACACACACACACACACACACACACACACACACACACACACACACACACACUAAAAUCAAUAUUUCCCUUUUUACUUUUAUCCCCCAUUCGUUUAAAAAAUUGGAAAUUACACAUUUUUGAUUUAUGGACUAAAAUUUAUAAAUCUGGUGAAGUAGAUUUUCAAAAAGUAUUCAUG